UGUUCCCAAAGUGCUUUCCUUGGGACCUGUUAGAGCAAUUGCCAGAAAAUAUUAACUAUAACAUUUAGCUAUGGUCAUAUCUGUCUCGCCAACGUUCUGUUGGCUCCUCAAGGAAGGGAAUAUAGUUUAUUUCUGCCCCCUCCAUGACUAUUGUCCCAAAGAUGAAAAUGCUGAUCAUUGAAAUCAUUUUAUCAGUCUCUGAACUGACUCUCUGGACUUGAAAUUUUUGCUCAGAAGUGUAACAAUCACCUGAAACUUGGCACAGCCACACAGCUUUCUACCUCUACCUCUCCCAAGUCUGUUUCUUUCCCAUUUCAAUAUCAGUUUCUCAGUGCAAACCUCAAAA
rnacentral:lncRNA from 10 species